rnacentral:piRNA from 1 species
UCACAAUUGUUAAUGGUAGGU